rnacentral:tRNA from 1 species
UCCCUGGUGGCUCAGAUGGUAAAGUAUCUGCCUGUAAUGCAGGAGACCUGGGUUCGACCCCUGGGUUGGGAA